GGCCGCAGUACUUUGACUGUGCUAAGGUAGCAUAAUAAAUUGACUUUUAAUUGAGGUCUAGAAUGAAAGGAACAAUGGACAAUUGCUGUCUUGUUUUAACUAAUAAAAAUUUACUUAAAAGGUGAAAAUUCCUUAAAAAUAAUAUAAUAGACGAGAAGACCCUAGGAGUUUUAAAAAUUUUGUUGGGGCGACAUUAUAGCAGCAUAAUUUGCUUAAACCUAUAAUUUUAAAUAAGAUUAUAUAACGAAAAGUGUUAAUUAAAAAUAAACUACCCUAGGGAUAACAGCAUAAUUUUAAUUUAGGUUUGUGACCUCGAUGUUGGACUAGGGACAUUUAAAAUUAACAGUGUUAAAUGAUAGUUCUGUUCGAACAUUUUACCCUACGUGAU
rnacentral:rRNA from 1 species